rnacentral:lncRNA from 1 species
UUCACCAUGUUGGCCAGCCCGGUCUUGAACUCCGUCAGCCUCCCAAAGUGCUAGGAUUAACAGGCGUGAGCCGGCACGCCCGGCCUCCCCGCUGAAUCCUUUCUUCAUUUUAUCAUAAUCCUUCUAAAUACACUUUCGGGAACUUUAAAAGAUGCCUACCACCAUUUGUCUCUCAUGAAGAUGUGAACUGCGACUGGAAACAGCUCAGUCUCUCACAGGGAAAGCACAAUGACACAGAAGGAAAUAUAGAAGUCCCCAAAUUAGGAAUCUUGGAUUUUAGACCCAGUGUUCCCUUAACUGCUUAAAGUGUGACCUCAAGCCAUAUACUGACAUCAACACUUAGGAAGAAAUAGGACUGCAAUGAGGACAAAACCUGUUACAGGGAAAGGAAAUGAUAGAGGCCUGGAAAACAAAGCAAAUAACAAGAGUCAGAUGUUGAAGGAAUAGAGGGAAAUAUACUAAGAGGAAAA